ACUUCAAUUUUUUUACCCAUGUUAUUCGGAAGAAAAGUUGGAAUUAUUAUCAUUAUUCCCAUUCAUUGUCGGCAGCAAGUAGAAGAAAAGAAAACCAAUUUUCUUCUUUUCUCUCUUCAUUCGGCAGUUCGGCACCAAGAAGGAAGAGAGCAUUCUUCUUCUUCAUCUUUGCACGCAGAUUAUUUUUGCCUUGCUUUUGCCGUGGUUGAGAUUGAUGAUUAAACCCGCGACCUCAAGCUGGGCACGCAUGUCCGUUCAUAUUAAGGCCAUUGUGUUUGGCCUUUAGAGAUAUUAUUGCCGGAGAUAUCAUUUUCACAAGACAAUGUCACCUGCUUCACCCAGUCACACCGGCGGACUGGUCUGCUUCGUUUGGUAGCCUACAGCAUAGAUGAGGAUGGUUUACCACAUGAAAGUUAUGGGCCUUCUAUUGAGUUGGCCAGUUUCGGCCUCCGGUUUCACCCAGCCUUUGCCGCCGUCCUGAGUUCGCGAGGAUAGGCGACAGCUUGGAAGGGAGAACAACUUGAAAGUCAACAGUGGAAGGGAGAUCAAUUUGGAAGCCAACAGCUUAGAAGGGAGAACAGCUUGGAAGCCAACGGCGUAGAAGGGAGAACAACAUGGAUGCCAACAGCUUGGAAGGGACGUGAGUGUCAAAAAGCACAGUCAACAGCAUUCAUUCCCAAACUACAGUGCAAUUUUGAAAUAUAUUGUGUGAUAUGUUGAGCCAGCAAAAAAGGUUUUAAAUUGUGGUCGUUGUCGGCGAGGAAGACGACAAAAGGGAAAAGGUUGUGAAUUUAAGGGAGGAAAAGAGGGGAAUAGUGUCAGAUGGAGAUGGAAAGAAAAAAAAAAUUCAUUCCAUUACCCAUAAAAUAUUCAAUCCCAUUGCCCCAUAAAGUAUUCAAUCCCACUACCCCAUAAAGUAGCUUUGUCUGAAGUAAGGUUUUUUUUUUUGAAAACUACUGAAGGUUAAAAUGGAGGUCAUUAUGCUUUAAAAAUUUCAGGUAAUAUUAUUACAUGAACUAUGUAUAGUAUUUUUCUGGCCAUAUGCUUUGUUGGAUUUUUUUUUUUACUAUUUGGCUUUCUCUUGAAUAAUUUUAUCAGUAGACCAACUGCUUUCCCAUGUUUGAAGAAUAAUAAUUGAGGUUGGCUGGUUUUUCGGGAGAAAUUGGGUAUGUUGCAUUCCUUCUCCUUAAAGGUUACUGCUUCUUUUAUACAUUAGUGUGCUUGUGUCCCUCCUAUUAUUUACUGUCACUAAGCAAUUUGUUGAAAGGAUGAUGCAGAUGAGUAGAUGACUAAGAAUAAAAUGGUUAUGCAUGUCUCACACUGGCGUGAGACUAUGUAUGUCACUACUUUGUAUUUUCAUAUUGUAUGAAUUUUAAGAGUUUACGUGAACUUUGACUUGAAAGUAGAAUAAAAUGGUUAUGCAUGUCGCACACUGGCGUGAGACUAUGUAUGUCACUACUUUGUAUUUUCAUAUUGUAUGAAUUUUAAGAGUUUAAGUGAA